CUCAGCAUCACACCAUUGACAGCCUGGAGCAGGGAAUCUCUAGCCUCAUAGAGCGUCUGCAUGUCAUAGAGACACAGAAGAAACAGGAAAGGAAGGUUCGGGGGCGGUCACCCAGAAAUCAAGCAAGCAGUGAAUAUCGAGCCUCCUGGCCCCCCAAUUCCAGUAAGUGAAGGAUGUCUGGGAUAUUCGACGUCCUUCCUGUGUGAAAGUUGGUUCUCUCUCUUUCUCUUUUCUUGUUUUGGGGAGGU
rnacentral:lncRNA from 1 species